rnacentral:lncRNA from 1 species
UUAGAGACAGGAGCAAGAAGCGAGGACUUUCAUCCUUUCAACCAAUUCAUUAAAUAUUUCUCAUUUAUAGAACAACAUUUUUGAAGACACAUUUUAUGUGUUUUUGUGGUUAUGGGUGUUCUAGUAGUAAGUUGGAGGGUGUUAUAGGUGUGGAGUUUAUAUUAUCAAAAUUGUAUGUAAUUUGUGUUACUUCGAAGAUUUUCAGACCAUUGACUAACUUUUUAUAUAUGGAUGAAGAAAACUGGUGCCCAAAAGUUUUUGCAUGGUGAAGUGUUCGGAUAAUUAUCAUGGUUAAUUACAUAGAAAUGGAAUUUGCUUGAUGUUUUUGGGUUGGCAGAUAUAUUCAAGAUAAAAAUGUUAAGAGGAAGAUUAAGGAAGUAAAAUCUGAAACAUGGAAGGGAUAUUAACGGAAAACAAAAAAUUAUGUGUUGUACUUACAUUAAAAGGAACAAGUAAGCGAGGUACCUCCAUCUGAUUUGAGGGAGUUCCAAUUGAUUUUUACUUAAGUGUUUUCUCUUUUCAGAGUAAAUACUAGUAUGUAAUAGGAUAAGGAAAGUUUUGUUUUUCUCAAAUAUGGUGAUGCAAUUUCUAAACUCUUUCAUGGAGUUGGAAGGAGAAGACCAAUGGUAUCCAUAAUACUAUUACAAACAAUGUUAGAGUGGAAAGGGUCUUGGGUGUCAGAGACAUUGUUUAACCAUUUCAAUUUCGUUAGUUUUGUUAGAUUAAGGGUGGUUAGCUGGCUCAACUAGUUAGUUUGUGUUUUAGAGGAGGAGGUGAAAAAGCUUGUCUCAAAUUGUGAUAGUUUAAAUAUUAAGAAAUAAGUUUGGAUUUAUUACGUAUUUUUGGUUGACACCUAAUUUAGAAUUCAUGAAAUUUGCG